UACGGAGGGUGCAAGCGUUAUCCGGAAUCACUGGGUUUAAAGGGUGCGUAGGCGGCUUGGUAAGUCAGAGGUGAAAGCCUUCCGCUUAACGGAAGAACUGCCUUUGAUACUGCCGAGCUUGAAAGAGGUUGAGGUUAGCGGAACGUGACAUGUAGCGGUGAAAUGCAUAGAUAUGUCACAGAACACCGAUUGCGAAGGCAGCUGACUGGACCUACUUUGACGCUGAGGCACGAAAGCGUGGGGAGCGAACAGG
rnacentral:rRNA from 1 species